GUGAGGUAAUGGCUCACCAAGGCGUCGACGGGUAGCCGGCCUGAGAGGGUGACCGGCCACACUGGGACUGAGACACGGCCCAGACUCCUACGGGAGGCAGCAGUGGGGAAUAUUGCACAAUGGGCGAAAGCCUGAUGCAGCAACGCCGCGUGAGGGACGACGGCCUUCGGGUUGUAAACCUCUUUUAGCAGGGAAGAAGCGAAAGUGACGGUACCUGCAGAAAAAGCGCCGGCUAACUACGUGCCAGCAGCCGCGGUAAUACGUAGGGCGCAAGCGUUAUCCGGAAUUAUUGGGCGUAAAGAGCUCGUAGGCGGUCUGUCGCGUCUGCUGUGAAAACCCGAGGCUCAACCUCGGGCCUGCAGUGGGUACGGGCAGACUAGAGUGCGGUAGGGGAGAUUGGAAUUCCUGGUGUAGCGGUGGAAUGCGCAGAUAUCAGGAGGAACACCGAUGGCGAAGGCAGAUCUCUGGGCCGUAACUGACGCUGAGGAGCGAAAGGGUGGGGAGCAAACAGGCUUAGAUACCCUGGUAGUCCACCCCGUAAACGUUGGGAACUAGUUGUGGGGACCAUUCCACGGUUUCCGUGACGCAGCUAACGCAUUAAGUUC
rnacentral:rRNA from 1 species